ensembl:lncRNA
AGUGCACGUCCACGGCGUUCUUAAAUAGACCACGGUAUCGAUCACAGAUUCACUGAUUCAGAGAUGAAGAAGACGCGUGCGGCAUAUUUUUCACCCGAGGAGCAGCAACUAAUUAUGUAAAGCAUAUAAUGUGCAGAAAAGGAAAUACGGCGGCUGUUAUUAAACUGAGAGAAAAAGCCUGGCAGACAAUAGCGGACCGACUGAAUGCUGCUGUAUCUCGCUGUGUGCUAAAUGUGCUGGUUGUACUGUCGGUGUCUUUGAGUGGGGGGGGGGCUUCCUUGAUUUGAACCAAGGAAGGCCUGUGAUGGAAGGAUCUGUAUGUAACAGGAUCCAGACGCAGUACAGUAUGACAGCCAGCCUGGCAACAUACUCCAAACUGGCAAGUGACAG